CACCACCCCCAACUUCUUGUCACUCUGCUUUUAAGAGAAAUUCAGCCCUCCUUCCCACCCACACACGCAGGUUUGUGUCGAGCUCUGUCUGAUGCGCUUUCACCCUUCAGCUGAGAGAGGAUGAAACUCAGAGCACGACCACUUGUCACUUGAUAGAAUGGCAGUGUGGCUGAAACAGGCAGUUCUGCUGUUACUCACAGUGGCAGAAGCAGCCAUGGUGGGAAAUUCAAAUGAAAUUCUUCUGAGAGAGUCUGGAGGUCAUGGAUCACCCAAGGAACGGUGGAAUAUUUCUGCUCGAUCUCUAACUUUCAAGUGCCUCAUUCAUGCUGAUUCUGUCCGCUAUCGUGUGACUUUUUUUUUCAAUGACACCAAGAACAAUUCCCUGAGCUGUCAGACUAGGACUUGUGAUAAUUUGGAAACCACCACUACAAAGCAGGAGCAAAAGAAUCAAACACAGCCUUACAUGAAGUGCAACUGUACAACGUGGGAAAUACACAAUGUUACCAGUGCAAACAAUGGAUUUUACUCUUGUGAAACUAUAACAGAGAUUCCUAUACUAGAAACGAAAACGAGCACGGAAGUGGAAGUUUUCAUCGGUGAGUAUUGUUUUAAAGAAUACAGUUCAGUCUUGAACAGCACCUGCAAAGACUUUCUGUAUCUCUGAAAUGCUUAAGCGUCCCAUCUUAAACAGACUCAGUAUUAAUCCUCACAUUCCCAAAGACUAAGGAAAGCUUCUUGUAUUAAUUGUUACAGAGGGGAGCUCAGUGGAAAGUACAACAUUGUCUAGAAGGACAGAAACACAAGGUGUGUGCGUGGUUUUUUUGGUCUCCAUGUGAUGUGUGGUACUUGGUAUAGAAUAGUCCAGACCCUGAAUGCAUAGGAGCUGUUUUGUGCAUUUACAUUCAUAUCCUUUUCAGGAGAACAUCAGGACAUGUUAGGGAUGGGGCAGGGUUUUUCCUCUGUUUGCUAAGAGUUACACUACAAACUUCCUUUAUGCUGCUGGUGUUCUUCACACGUCGCUGCUCUGUGAUGUAAUUGUGAAGAUUAUUAAAGUGGGUCAAGAGGUUUUAACGUUUUAACGCUGAGUUUUCCUUUUACAGUACCACGGGACAACAGCCCAUCCUCCUCGCUGUGGCCGUGGCUCCUGGUGGGUGUGUCUUCUCUCAUCGUGGUCAUCCUGAUGGUUCUGUGUGUGAUCUUCAGAAGAGCGUGCCUCAGAAACAGAGGUACCAGUCUUACUGCCUUCUGCAAAGUCUGUGUUGUUGAUCGCACAUCAGAACAGCAGAUACAUUUACAGAUUGCAGAUAAACUUGAUACAAAUUCAGCAAGCCCACUUUGAGAUAGUGAGGUAAUGCUAUUUAAAUAUACUGAGAACAGAUGGACUUUGACUCUAAGCGGAUGCUUAAGAGGUGUGAUAACAUGUAAACUGUUUGACUAAAAUAUCUUUUUUCUCUGUGGCUUGAGUGUAGAUGUAUAAAGAUUUAAUCUAAAAUUUCAGAGUUUUUCACAAAAUUGGUAAGAUUGUUGACCACAACUUUUUCACAUGAAAGUUUUUAGCUCAGUUCUCCUUUGUGUUUAUUACAUUUCUGAUGAAGUGCAUUUCUUAUUUACAAAAUAAAAAAAGAGUCAAAUUUAAUUUACCCUUUAAAAACCCAAGUUAAAACUUCUGCGAGUGUUUCCAUUUAUCUGGAUCAGAUUUCUGCUCUAACUAAAGUGAUGAAGGGGCUCUCAGACCAUCUUCAGUAAACACUAUCUACUGUUUCAAACACCCAGAAAAGAAGUCCUUCUGACUUAUUAUAAUUCAUUUUCAUGUGUCACUGUGAGACUAACACAGAAGUAGACAUGUGGUCUGACCACAGGAAAUGCCUAAAAGACAGAGCAGCAGAAGCAGAAGAGCCUUAUGAGUUGUCUUUAAUGUUUCUGCCACUGCAAAGGUUUUUGCAUGUAUGUUAAUGUUACAUACAGGAAGGUGUUCAAGAUUCACAUCAGUUUGGUCUCAAUUUUGAACAUGUGCUGUUAAAAGAUCAAGCAAAAAUAUUUAGUAAAAAAGGAAAAAGAAAACAAUUUUUAGGCAUACUUUUCUCAUACUUUAGUUUAAACAAAAGCUGUUUUUUGAUUGACGAGGAGUGCCCCAGUGACAUUUGACGGCUGGAGUUUUAAGAGAAAUAUUUGUGACAAAUUUACAACCUUGGCACGAAAAGACUUUAUAGGGUUGGCAGUUUAGAUUAAAGGAUUCAGGACAAAAAUUCUGUCAGGAUCCAACUCAGACUGAUUCAGUGAUGGAAAUGAUGGAGAAGAUGUUUCAUGUGAUUAAAGUGUGAAUCAGUGAGAAGUCACCCUGUGAAUUUUGAAAGGCAGCAGAAUGUUUGCUACUUUACAGACAGCGCACGGCUUCGAUUACAUUUAAAACAUUUUUACAAGGAAUGUUAGUUUUAUUUUAACGUUGACGUAUAGUUGUGUUGUAUUUUUUGCUUUGUUUCAUUUGUGACUGUAUUCUUUUAUGCACAUAGAAAAAUUAUGUCAGGUGCCUCAUUUAUAGACAAGAACAAAGGUGAUAAAAGUCAAUCACACACAUUCAGCUAGAGGAGAAACUGGAGAAAAAUCAACAUUUUCUUUAUACCUGAGAGCACUUAAAAAAAAGAUGACUCCAAAUGUAAAAAAUGUGUGCGUUUGUUUUCUUGUUCAUUUAUUAUGUAUUUGAUCAUUCUAAUGUUUAAGAAUUUUUGUCUAAAUAGUUUUUGUUGUGUUUUUAUUUUUUUUCUUCAAUAUAAAUACAUUUUGUCCUGACAAUUAAAAGCAAAGAGUAAAGCAAUGAGAUAAAUACAAUACAUUUGAUAGAUGUUCUUUAACAAAAACCA
ensembl:lncRNA